AGCUGGGAUGGAGAUUGUGGUUUUCCAAUUCGCAGUAUUUGUCAGCGCCAAGUGCUUGGAAAAAGGAACAGAAAAAUAUCCCUCAGGACUAAGGGCUGAAAGUCUUACAGAGGCUUCUGGGACUUUAUUCUUCUAAAGCUGUAAGUGCUGGGAAUCUCAUUGUUUGUCCACCAAGCUGUAUGUUAACCCUAUGUUGAUGCAAGAGUGCUGAACUGGUUUAUUUUGUUACUAAUAAAAGCCAGCCAAGCUGCACUGAACUCUUAAAAGUGGUUCAAGACUCCGUGCACUUAAAUUAUGGUCCCAGCUAACCUGAAUCUCACACUCUCAUUAAAGAGGGAUAGAAAUUGCUAUUAACACUGAAACAAAUUGGAUCAUGAGCACUAAAGGCAACCAUUGGGGAAAGUGCAUAAUAUUCACCUACGAUACAGAGUGAGCAGGCAGUAACGUCAGAUACAGAGAAUCGGGAACAUCUGAUACUAAGGGCCUUGGAAAUUGUAGCACUCGAGCAGAAAAGGGCAGCAGGUUGGAUGGAAAGGCAGAGCUUUUAGACGAACAUAAAGAAUUACAUUACAGGCUUGGAUAAAGGAAAGGGGGCACUUGGGGCCUUCACAAGAAAAUGAUCCCUGACUCACAAGCAGCCGAUACAAAGACACAAGGAUAAAACUACUUGACACUUCACAUCACUGAGAUCUAAGGCACAGAAAAGCAGUCACUUCCAGUGAGACUCCUCGUUACCUGCUGCUGUCACGCACAGUCUCUCCCCUCUUCCCAGAACUUGUCCCCCCAGGUGCCAGUGCCCAACACAAACAGCAGGACAUAAAGGCUUACUGCUCAAUGGAUAUAUAUAAAUAUCCAGGGCACCGCUGACUGGCAGCAACUUGAGAAAUGUCUCCCUCCUUCAGUAGCUUCAAAAGGGGCCCCCGGAGUGAUGCUGAAACUCUGGUACCUGAUCAGCGGAAAGAAAUGAACUCAGCGUGAAACCUCACUGUCCCUCAACUCCCCUCUUCAUGCUCUUUCUUCUCGAUCUCAAGAAGUUACUGCCAUGAGGGACAGGCAUCUGCAUCAAACUGAUGAUUCCAUGUUUUCCAUUUGGUUACUUGCCCACAACCCCCUUUUCUUCUACAGAAGAGAUGCCAACCCAGUGUUUUGUUACCCAUGAGAAAUGUGAGCUGCCCUUCACAGAAGGAGAGGUCUAAGAUCCAGCCUUGUCG